rnacentral:rRNA from 1 species
AUUGAACGCUGGCGGCAGGCCUAACACAUGCAAGUCGAGCGAGUGGCGGACGGGUGAGUAAGGUCUGGGAAACUGCCUGAUGGAGGGGGAUAACUACUGGAAACGGUAGCUAAUACCGCAUACCAUCAUAUGUGCCCCGAUGGGAUUAGCUCGUUGGUGGGGUAAUGGCUCACCAAGGCGACGAUCCCUAGCUGGUCUGAGAGGAUGACCGGCCACACUGGAACUGAGACACGGUCCAGACUCCUACGGGAGGCAGCAGUGGGGAAGAUGGCACAAUGGGCGCAAGCCUGAUGCAGCCAUGCCGCGUGUAUGAAGAAGGCCUUCGGGUUGUAAAGUACUUUCAGCGGGGAGGCGUUACUCGCAGAAGAAGCACCGGCUAACUCCGUGACAGCAGCCGCGGUAAUAC